rnacentral:rRNA from 1 species
CCUACGGGAGGCAGCAGUGGGGAAUAUUGCGCAAUGGGCGAAAGCCUGACGCAGCGACGCCGCGUGAGGGAUGAAGGUCUUCGGAUCGUAAACCUCUGUCAGCAGGAAAGAACGGUCACUGUGCUAAUCAGCAGUGAAUUGACGGUACCUGCAAAGUAAGCACCGGCUAACUCCGUGCCAGCAGCCGCGGUAAUACGGCGGGUGCGAGCUUUAAUCGGAAUUACUGGGCGUAAAGCGCUCGUAGGCGGUAUGUCAAGUCAAGGGUGAAAUCCCCGCGCUCAACGUGGGAACUGCCUGUGAAACUGGCAAACUGGAGUGUGUGAGAGGAUAGUGGAAUUCCAGGUGUAGGAGUGAAAGCCGUAGAUAUCUGGAGGAACAUCAGUGGCGAAGGCGACUAUCUGGCACAUAACUGACGCUGAGGAGCGAAAGCGUGGGUAGCAAACAGGAUUAGAUACCCCUGUAGUC